rnacentral:piRNA from 1 species
CAGUUGUGAGCCUCUGUAAUGGGUACA